rnacentral:rRNA from 1 species
UACGGGGGGGGCAAGCGUUGUUCGGAAUUACUGGGCGUAAAGGGCUCGUAGGCGGCCAACUAAGUCAUACGUGAAAUCCCUCGGCUUAACCGGGGAACUGCGUCUGAUACUGCAUGGCUUGAGUAGCGGAGAGGAUAGCGGAAUUCCCGGUGUAGAGGUGAAAUUCGUAGAUAUCGGGAGGAACACCAGUGGCGAAGGCGGCUAUCUGGACGCAUACUGACGCUGAAGUUCGAAAGCGUGGGGAGCAAACAGG